rnacentral:rRNA from 1 species
UUUAAACUUUAAAAUAAAUUUAUUAGAACUUUUAAUACAAAAAAUGAAAAUUUGUACCUUUUGUAUCAGGGUUUUUUAAAAUUAUCAAAGACUUAAAAUAUCUCGAUUUUAUAGGAAUUAUUUAUUUUUUUUCUCUCUUUUAUAAUUUUAUUAAAAAAAAAAAAUAGAAAGUUAAAUAGAAACAAAACAUUUUCGGCUAUAAAAAUAUCUAGUUUUUUAAAAAUUAAAAUAAAUUUAGUAUUAAAAAAAUUUUAAUAAUUAAGCUUCAAGGGACUAACUUUUUAGCUUUAUUUAAUUUAUUCGAUUAAAACUUUUAAUUAAAGGAAUUAAAUUUUUUUACCACAAAUGUAAAAAUUAAAAUUUUUAUUAAAUAAAUUUUUAAAAGAAAUUAAUUUUUUAUUAAACAAAUUUUUUUAAUAAUUAAAAAAAUUUGAUAAUGAAAAAAUUAGUAAUUUUAAAAUAAUUUUUAAUAGGAACUAGACAUAUUAAUUUAUUCGACUGUUUAUCAAAAACAUCUCCUUAAGUUUCUUCUGCAUUUAAGGUAAAACCUGCUCAAUGGAUACUCUAAAUAGCUUAAUUUUUAAAGUAGCAUAAUCAUUUGCCUUUUAAUUGUAGGCUAGAAUGAAUGGUUAAACGUAAUAAUAAUUUUCUUUUAAGUAUUAAAUAAAAUUUACUUUUUAGUUAAAAGGCUAAAAUAACCUUUUUAGACAAGAAGACCCUAAGAUCUUUUUUUUUAUAGAUUUAGCUUAAUAUAAAUACUUUAAAAAUUUUACUGGGAUAGUAAAUAAACAAAAUUUUUAUUUUAAAACUAACCAUUUUAUGGAAUUUAAAUACAAUUUUUUAGAUAAAAUUAAGUUACCUUAGGGAUAACAGCAUAAAAUUUUUUUAGAGUUCAAAUCAAAAUCAACUUUUAUGACCUCGAUGUUGGAUUAAGGUUAAAGAUUUUUAGAAAAAAAAAAAUCUUAGGGUCUGUUCGACCUUAAUUCCUUACAUGAUCUGAGUUCAAACCGGUUUAAGCCAGGUUGGUUUCUAUCUAAAAUCUAAGAUUUUUUUUUAGUACGAAAGGACAAAAAAAAGUAAUAUAAUUU